AACGAAGAAAAGAAGUGAAGAAAAGAAGUGAAACGAGUCUCUUCUUGUGAUUUCUCUUCACGACUUCUUUGUCAGCGAGGUUGUUCUCUUCUCUCUUCUUUCUUCUCUCUUCUUUCU
rnacentral:ribozyme from 13 species